GCUGUUAAGGGUUCGUAGUUGAACUGUGGGCAGCCAAGGAGACGAUCAAGUCCCACCCUGUUUCCCGGGUCGGCGACCAUCGCUCUUGCUGUUCGUGAACAACAGAAACAAAGACCACGGAUUGAUACUCUGCCCGACACCUCUUCGCAUGCGAUGCAUGCAGUGCGUGGCGGAUGUCCGUGUUUUUACUGUGACUAAAAAAGCGUGACCAAGGCAGUCAUUCGACAUGAAUUGCAAGCAUGGGAUAACAAAGGAGCAACCUACGGAUUACCGUAACGGCUUUUGUUGGUUUUAAGGUCUGUGGGAGACUAUGGGUGCGCAUUGACAAGCGGUUCGGGGUUCGUCCCCACGCCUCCCUGUUCUGCUUCGUUUCGUCGGUUCCCGGCGACGGCGUUCAGGGCUUGUGCGCCCAGGAUGAAGGAGGGUUGUUCGGGGGAGAACGUACUUGAGCGUGAGAGGUGAAAUUCUUAGACCGCUCAAGACGAACUACAGCGAAGGCAUUCUCCAAGGAUACCUUCCUCAAUCAAGAACCAAGUGUGGAGAUCGAAGAUGAUUAGAUACCAUUGUAGUCC
rnacentral:rRNA from 1 species